rnacentral:lncRNA from 1 species
CGGCACUGAGCGCUCCGGCAGCAGCGCAGUUGGACCGCAGGCUCGGGCGCUGGCAAGUCAUGUAGCAAAAGCAGCAACCACCCCUCAGGAAUUAGAAAAAAAAAAAAAAAGGAAAAGAAAAAAGAAAGAAAGAAAAAAGAAACAACCACCGCCCCGGGGGUGAAGCUCCCUCGCUCCCAACUGUACUUCUUGGUCUCCCCCCCCACCCCCCGCUCCCCCCCCCGCUGCUUCCUCCUCCUCCUCCUCCUCUCGCAGCAGCAGUCACAGCAGCAGCAGCAGCAGCCCAAAGGGGGGGAGAGCCGGGCGGCGGGCGGGCGCGUCCCGGAGCGGCCGCGGCGAGGCUGGGGAGACAGCGAUCGAGGCGGCUAUAGCCACAAUUAAUUUUCCGAGCUACAGGCGCACACUAGGGCUGUAAAAAAAUUUUUGGUUUAACCUUUCCUACCGCUGGGCCAAUCAGAGCUGGCGGCGUGCGGGAGCGUCUCUCUCGCCGUCGACCAAUCGGAGGGGCCGGGCCCACCCACCCCCGCCCCGCCCGCCGGCUGCCGCCCCCUCGGGCGCUCGCCUCCCCCUCUCCGCGGGCCUCGGACCCCGAGGCCGCGCGGAGCCGCGUAGGGAUACGCCGGCGGGAGCACGCGGUGCCGCAGCCCUUCCCUGCGCCCCCGCCACCCCCUCCACCCCGCCGGCUCCGCUCCACCGAAAUUCCCCUCCUAGGGCCAAUAGCUCACAUUUCCGGCUUCCUCCUCAUUGUACUGGGUCAUUUUCGUUUAAGCGUCAAUAUUUGUCCUUAGUGAUUAAAGUUUGUAUCCAAUUUUAUUUUUGAAAGCGGGGGUGGUGGUGGUAGUGGGAAGAGUGGGAGUGCAGGGAGAGGAUGCGAGAGGGCAGGAAAUGGAGGAGGUAGAGGCGAGGCACUACUUUUCCGAGUCGGCCUUGCAGGCCAGUGUCUGGCAUUUCUGAGCCAGCAGGAAAAUUGUGCCCUUUGUAGGUAAUAGUCUAGCGCAGCUUUGGAUAAGGGGGGAGAUAAGGCCCACCGCUGGCGUGUGUGCGGGGGUGUCCUUUACUUCGGGGGAGGAGGGUGUGGGAGAGCUUUGGGAGCGAUGAGAUGAGGAGGAGGAAGUGGGCAGAGGAGCGCGGGGCCAAACAGGGGUUACUUACUCGAUUCCUGAGGCCUGGGCGGCGGCGAGCUCCGGGCUCCGGCACCGCGGGGAAACCGGGACUGGGGCUCCGGGUGCUGCUGCGGCGGCCGGGGCCGCUCAGUAGUGGGCGCCUCUGAUGGCCUUCCGAAAUGAGAGGUGCCCAGAGAGAAAACAGUACCAAACAAUCUCGAAAUAAAUCAGAUGCACAGAGAAUUUCUGACCUUGUGACGUUUGGGAGUGAGGAGAUCCCAUACAGAGGCAUCCAGGUAUUUCCAGAGAUCCUGUGGCAGGUGAGGUCUGCCCUCGCUGGAGCCAACUCGUCUAUAAUAUCUUCCUAACAGCAGAACCUGGGUCUCACUCUGUCCCCUAGGCUGGAAUGCAGUGGUGUGAUCAUGGCCCACUGCAGCCUUGAACUCCUGGACCCAAGCAAUCCUCCCAUCUCAGCCUCCCAAGUAGCUGGAACUACAGGUGUAAGCCACACCUGGAUAACUCAUUUAUUUUUAGAUAACCUGUUUUUAAUAUUGGAAGCUUUUAUGAUUAUCUCUGGGUAGGGGUCUUUACAUUCCACUUGGCAUUUUUCACUUUAAAUUCUCAUGUCUUUCAACUUGGAAGAAUUUGAUUCUAUCAGUUCUCUGUUGAUUUCUUCUACUCCAUUUUCUGUAUUCACGUUGUUUUUGGGUUUCUAUUACUCAGAUAUGGG